UACACUCCUACGGGAGGCAGCAGUGGGGAAUAUUGGACAAUGGGCGCAAGCCUGAUCCAGCCAUGCCGCGUGAGUGAUGAAGGCCCUAGGGUUGUAAAGCUCUUUCACCGGUGAAGAUAAUGACGGUAACCGGAGAAGAAGCCCCGGCUAACUUCGUGCCAGCAGCCGCGGUAAUACGAAGGGGGCUAGCGUUGUUCGGAUUUACUGGGCGUAAAGCGCACGUAGGCGGACUAUUAAGUCAGGGGUGAAAUCCCGGGGCUCAACCCCGGAACUGCCUUUGAUACUGGUAGUCUUGAGUUCGAGAGAGGUGAGUGGAAUUCCGAGUGUAGAGGUGAAAUUCGUAGAUAUUCGGAGGAACACCAGUGGCGAAGGCGGCUCACUGGCUCGAUACUGACGCUGAGGUGCGAAAGCGUGGGGAGCAAACAGGAUUAGAAACCCGAGUAGUCCCAUGAU
rnacentral:rRNA from 1 species